GCUACACAUGCAAGUCGAACGCCCCGCAAGGGGAGUGGCGAACGGGUGAGUAACGCGUGGGAACCUACCCAGCAGUUGGGGAUAACCGCGGGAAACUGCGGCUAAUACCGAAUACGUCCUGAGGGAGAAAGAUUUAUCGCUGUUGGAGGGGCCCGCGUCGGAUUAGCUAGUUGGUGAGGUAAUGGCUCACCAAGGCAUCGAUCCGUAGCUGGUCUGAGAGGAUGAUCAGCCACACUGGGACUUAGACACAGCCCAGACUCCUACGGGAGGCAGCAGUGGGGAAUAUUGGACAAUGGGGGCAACCCUGAUCCAGCAAUGCCGCGUGAGUGAUGAAGGCCUUAGGGUUGUAAAGCUCUUUUACCGGGGACGAUGAUGACGGUACCCGGAGAAUAAGCCCCGGCUAACUUCGUGCCAGCAGCCGCGGUAAUACGAAGGGGGCGAGCGUUGUUCGGAGUUACUGGGCGUAAAGGGCGCGUAGGCGGCGCUCCAAGUUAGGCGUGAAAGCCCCGGGCUCAACCUGGGAAUAGCGUUUAAGACUGGAGUGCUCGAGUGCGGGAGAGGUGAGUGGAAUUCCCAGUGUAGAGGUGAAAUUCGUAGAUAUUGGGAAGAACACCAGUGGCGAAAGCGGCUCACUGGCCCGCAACUGACGCUGAGGCGCGAAAGCGUGGGGAGCAAACAGGAUUAGAUACCCUGGUAGUCCACGCCGUAAACGAUGAGUGCUAGACGUUGGGGGACUCGGUCCCUUGGUGUCGCAGCUAACGCAUGAAGCACUCCGCCUGGGGAGUACGGCCGCAAGUUAAACUCAAAGGAAUUGACGGGGCCGCACAGCGGUGGAGCAUGUGUUU
rnacentral:rRNA from 1 species